rnacentral:rRNA from 1 species
CGUACACUCCUACGGGAGGCAGCAGUGGGGAAUAUUACACAAUGGGCGCAAGCCUGAUGCAGCCAUGCCGCGUGUAUGAAGAAGGCCUUCGGGUUGUAAAGUACUUUCAGCGGGGAGGAAGGCAAUACGGUUAAUAACCGUGUUGAUUGACGUUACCCGCAGAAGAAGCACCGGCUAACUCCGUGCCAGCAGCCGCGGUAAUACGGAGGGUGCAAGCGUUAAUCGGAAUUACUGGGCGUAAAGCGCACGCAGGCGGUCUGUCAAGUCGGAUGUGAAAUCCCCGGGCUCAACCUGGGAACUGCAUUCGAAACUGGCAGGCUUGAGUCUUGUAGAGGGGGGUAGAAUUCCAGGUGUAGCGGUGAAAUGCGUAGAGAUCUGGAGGAAUACCGGUGGCGAAGGCGGCCCCCUGGACAAAGACUGACGCUCAGGUGCGAAAGCGUGGGGAGCAAACAGGAUUAGAAACCCGGGUAGUCCCAUGAU